rnacentral:sRNA from 1 species
UGAUGCCAGGGUCAAAAGGUCAUACAAUGCAUGCUUGCAUGCAAUUGUAUGACUUUGACCCCAACAUUUUAUAAAACAGGGGAUAAUAAUGAAGUAUAACAAUAUAAAAGAGGCAGUCUUUCUGGAACGUCC